GCCCCGGGCUGCACCUGGCUCCCGAAGGCCAGCUUGGCGGCGGCGGCGGCCAGAGCCCCGAACGCCCCGGCGCACAGACAGUUGAACACGCCCCAGAAGCGGCGCCGCAUCGCGCCUUUCUGUAGGCGAGCGGGUAACUCCACGGGUGAGUCAGGGUAAGCGGCCGCAGACACGGCGGCACCCGAGGACUGCGGACCGGCCGCCAUGAGGCCCGCUGCGCCCGCCACGGCCGACUGCCACGCACGCCGCCACCCGCCGUGAGCCCGGCUAGGGCGGAGCCAGGCGAGUGAGGCGAAUCUGCUGCAGUGGAGUCCGGAGCCGAGCCGAGCCGAGCCUACAAAUGAAAGGAAUCUGGAGCCCAUACCCUGCAGCGUGUGCAAACCCGCGACUAAGGAGAGCCUGCGGCUCCGGCGAACCUGGGGGAUGGGAAUCCGGUAGCGAGGACCGUGCGCCACUGAAGGAAGCGUGCUACCGAGAGGUACCUACUGUGAGAGAGGAAUCUGCUGACGUGAACUUGGGGAGGAGGGGAGUUUAUCUCCGAGGAGAACCUGCGGCGGAAGUAACCUUGUUUCUGAAAGAGCCCUGCAGUCAAGGGGAACCUGCUUCUGAGAAGACGGGGAGGUCUGCCACUUUACAUGGAUGCGCACCUAACAUGCUAAUCCUGAAGCCAAGCUGCACCUUCAAAGCACCUCUGCUCCCUCGUGGACGCAGGAGAUGAUGGAUCUGGAGACCGGCCGCUUGAGACAGAACGUUGUUUGGGAAAACGUUUGUUCUGCCUGGACCAUCAGAAGCACAGUCACUUCUAAGUUCGUGUAAAGUAAUUGAGAACGACAAAAAAAUUGAAAAAACAACCAAAAAAAAAAAAAACCCAAACAAACCGUAAAAUGUCAUCUACUGUCGGUAAUUCCAGAUGCUUAGGAUGCUGAGGCAGUUAAUGGUCAUCCUGAGCAACUUAGGGAGACAUUGUCUCACUUGAGAGGGCUGGCAGCCAGGCAUGGUGGCACACACCCGUAAUCCUAGCACUUCUGAAGCUGAGGUAGAAUUACUGAGUUUGAGGCCAGCCUGACCAACAGAGAGGUACUAAGCAAGCCAAGGACUUUUUGAGACUCUCAAAAAGUUUUUGUUUUUGUAAUAAAGGAGAGUUGGGGUUAUAGCUCAGUGCUUCCAUAAUACAUGAAAAAUCCUGAAUUCAGUCAAUGGCAGUGUGUAUGGAUAUAUGUUAGGGAUACAUUUCCUUAAAGGAGAGCUGUAGAAGUGUAUAACGUGAGCUAAGUGUGGUGGUUGGUACACAUGAGGAAGCAGAGGCAAGUGGAUCUCUGUGAGUCCGAGAACAGCCUGCUCUAAAUAGCUCUACAUAGCCAGGGCUACACAGCAAAACUUGUUUUGUUGAUAUAUAAAAUACAAAUAAUAUUUAAUGUAUGGGGCUUGGAAGAAACACUUUAUUCCCUGUUAAAGAGCUUUUUCAUGGACAUUCUUACAUGCUACCUUGCUUCUCAUGCGGGUGGUUUUGUGGAUGAAAUAAAAGGAUGGAUUACUGGGGUUUGGAGAGAUUGCUUAGCAGUUAGGCAGCUUGCAACCUUCCCACAAGUGCCUCCCAACCUCAUACCUCCAGGGGUUCCACUAUUUUCUGGCCUCCAAAGGCACCUAUCCUCAUGUACAUAUAUAUACACCUGAACACAGAUACACAUUAAUACAUAAAAUUAAAUUUUAAAUAAAAAGAAUAGAUUAUCCCAAUUAGUCCUAUGUGGUAUAAACCACUCCAAUUUGCAGAUAAGGAAGUUGAGACUCAAGGGUACUCACUGUACUAUUCCACUUAAUAAUGGAGAUAGUGUGUGGCAACAACUGAUAGGAGAAGCUAAAACAAAUCUAAGCUGCAUCUGUCAAAGACUUUAUCCCACGGAUUAUAAAGGUAAUUAACAGAAAUGACCUUCAUGUUCUGGCAGAGUAAGGUAAGUAAGUAAGACAACUAAUUCACACAUCUUAUGCAUGCUCUGUAGAGAAAAAGUGGGCAACAGUGUAUUGUCUAGCUAUAUGACUUCCAAAAUUAGUGAUUUAAACCAAGGAAAGUUAGGGGGUUGAUUUAGGGUAUUAUUUGUGUAUCCAUGUCAGAACCUGAUUGGCCUGGGUGUGACGGUGUGUAACUAAAAUCCUAGGACUUUGGAGGCAGAGGCAGGGGGAUCAGGAACUUAAGGGAGUUUAAAAGCAAACCUGGAUUACAUGAGACCCUGCUUCUCCUAUAGCUUUGGUUACUAUGGCCCUUGUACUGGCUGGUUUUGUGUCAACUUGACACAGCUGGAGUUAUCACAGAGAAAGGAACUUCAGUUGAGGAAAUGCCUCCAUGAGAUCCAACUGUAAGGCAUUUUCUCAAUUAGUGAUCAAGGGGGAAAGGCCCCUUGUGGGUGGUGCCAUCCCUGGGCUGGUAGUCUUGGGUUCUAUAAGAAAGCAGGCUGAACAAGCCAGGGGAAGCAAGCCAGUAAAGAACAUCCGUCCAUGGCUUCUGCAUCAGCUCCUGCUUGAGUUCCAGUCCUGACUUCCUUUGGUGAUGAACAGCACUAUGGAAGUGUAAGCUGAAUAAACCCUUUCCUCCCCA
rnacentral:lncRNA from 1 species